rnacentral:rRNA from 1 species
AGUCGAGCGGGGAUUAUCGAAUGAAGUCUUCGGAUGAAUUUUGGUAAUUCUAGCGGCGGACGGGUGAGUAACGCGUGAGCAACCUGCCUUUCACAGGGGGAUAACGCAUCGAAAGGUGCACUAAUACCGCAUGAGACCACGCUCCCGACAUGAGAGAGGGGUCAAAGGAGCAAUCCGGUGAGAGAUGGGCUCGCGUCUGAUUAGCUAGUUGGUGAGGUAACGGCCCACCAAGGCGACGAUCAGUAGCCGACCUGAGAGGGUGAUCGGCCACAUUGGAACUGAGAGACGGUCCAAACUCCUACGGGAGGCAGCAGUGGGGAAUAUUGGGCAAUGGGGGAAACCCUGACCCAGCAACGCCGCGUGAAGGAAGAAGGUUUUCGGAUCGUAAACUUCUAUCCUUGGUGAAAAUAGUGAUGGUAGCCAAGAAGGAAGCCCCGGCUAACUACGUGCCAGCAGCCGCGGUAAUACGUAGGGGGCAAGCGUUGUCCGGAAUGAUUGGGCGUAAAGGGCGCGUAGGCGGCCUGGUAAGUUUGAAGUGAAAGUCCUUCUUUUAAGGAGGGAACUGCUUUGAAAACUGUCGGGCUUGAGUGCAGGA